GCUGGGCAUAGUGGUGUGUGUCUGUAGUCCCAGCUACUUGGUAGGCUGAGGUGGGAAGCUCAAUUGAGCCCAGGAGUUCUGGGCUGUGGUGUGUUAUGCCGAUCGAGUGUCCGUACUAAGUUUGUAAUCAAUAUGGUGACCUCCCAGGAGCGAGGGGCCACCAGGUUUCCUAAGGAGGGGUGAAAUGCCUCAGGUUAGAAAUGGAGCAGGUCAAAAUUCCUGUGCUGUUUGAAACUGAGCACACAGGGGAGAAAGAGGCUCUGAGAGAGAUUUGUAGAAACUCAUUUCAU
ensembl:misc_RNA Metazoa_SRP Metazoan signal recognition particle RNA